UAAAAAUAAAAAAGACAAUAUUUGCUAUAUAACGUAAUAUUAUUGUAAAAAUAUAUAAUAUCUUCUAUAUCUAUUUAUUUAUUCUAUAUUUUACAGUUAAACAGUGACAUUUUUAUAACAUUGCCUGUUGUGUUAAAAAUAGAUCCUGAUUUGCACAAAUUACUGAGUAUCUAAAACAUGCUGCAUAUUAAUGGCCUGUAAACGUAAUACAAAGUUUGUGCGUGGGCUCAGUUUGCAGGCCUGUGAGCGCUGGCUGAAUUGUUGAUUUGUUGAUUGCUUGUGAACAGAUGUAAACUAUUGGGUUGAUUUACGAACUUGUCUCUUUUACAAGAAUGUAGUUGUUUGUUUCAUUGUCAACUGCUGCAGAUUUUUCUCACUUGAAAUUGUAAAUAUGACGCUGUAAAUUAUUUUAUGUGCAAAACCAGGCAGUAUCAUAGGAAAAAUGAUUUUAGAAAAACAAAAACGAGAUUGGUGCGUAAUAGGUUUUGAAUGUAUGCCAAGUGGCAUUAUUGAUGUGAUCUGAAUAUUAACAACUGCCAUGUAAAUAGAUCAGUAAUAAUUCAUGCAAAAUGGAAAUUGUGUGUAUUUGCCGAUUAUUUGUAGCGAUCACAUCCUAAGUACUUUAAUCAGAUAUGUCUAGAAUGCUUUUAUUUUUCUAAGUCUUGUUUCUCUAACGGUGAUCCAUAUGUAGAUUAUAUUAACACAAAGCACACUGUGUCCCACUAGCGCCCUCUAUAGGACAGGUAUCAUCACAUUCCCCAGUUGUACUGGAUAAUUUUGAGAUUGUGGGAGUUGUGCGAUUGAAACAGGCAGCUUAAUCAAUUAAAACAAAAACAAACAAACAUUGACAAGAUUUCCUGAAACAACAUUGUAUGGAUUACUAUUGAUUUUACAAUAUACAGUAAGCCUGUAUUUACACUGCUGAUAUGCACAGAUCAGAUCAUGUUGCAUGCAUGUUUGUGCAAGGGUACAAACACAAGCGAUCAUAUUUUUUCCAUCUGAUCUGGGUCACUUUAAAAUGUGGUUCUGAAUCUGAAAUCUAUAUGAUGUGUCUGGUCAUAUGGUCAGCAUCUAAGCACUUGUGUCCACUGGUCUAAAAUCAUCACUUGGUGCUUCGCUAAGAUAAGUGAAUGCAUUGGAAUUGCACCAUUGCCUGUUGUGUCUUAAAGGAAUAGUUCACCCAAAAAAUAAAAAUUUGCUUAAGAUUUUCUCACCGUUAGGCCAUCCAAGUUGUUUGUUUCUUCAUGUUUCUUCAUCAGAACAGAAAUGUAGCAUUCCAUCACUUGCUCACCAAUGGAUCCUCUGGACUUGAUGGAAUGCCGUCAGAAUGAGUCCAAACAGUUGAUAAAAACAUGUAUUUGUGUCUCGUCUGAAUCAGGAGAGAAAUCUGCACAGAUCAAGCACAGUUUACAAGCCCAAACAGUCCAAAACAUUUCUAAACUAAUAUGUGGGUGGCUUUUGAUGUGCGAGACAACAGGAGAUGGGACUUAUUCCCCUGGAGGAGGCGUCAUUAUGGACUUGUAUUUUGGCCAGAAGAAAUUAUUAAUUUAAUUAUUAAAUAGUUAAAACGCCAUAAUGAUGGAUUUGUCAGAGGAUCCUUUGGUGAGUAAGUGAAGUAAUGCUAAAUGUUUCUAAAUCUGUUCCAAUGAAGAAGCAAACUCAUCUACAUCUUGAAUGGCAUGAGGGUGAGUAUAUUUUCAGUUUUUCAGGUGAAUGUAAACAUAUUAGAUCUGUGCAUUAGGCUUAGCAUUGUAAAGGCAGUACAACACCACAUCUACACUGGAAGCAGAUUAAAAAAACAUAACUGGUAUAAAAUUAACUUAAUGGAACAUCACAACUGGCCUUUGAAGUAAUGGUCCAACAUUUAACCCUGUAAAGCCUGACAUAUUAAAUAAUAGUCAGAAAUUUUGGAGAAAGCAAAGCAGUUUAUUGAACCUUUAUACACAAUAUAAAAGUAAAAAAAAAUUAGGGCUUAUGUGGCUCAUAGAGUAUAAUACAGUGAUAAUAUGGAGCUCAUACAACUCUGUUUGAUUCAGAGGCUCAAACUGAGGAAAAAUAAUUUGGUGCAGAUGCUGAUAUUUAUAUGGCAAAAAUAAUGAUAAUAGCUUGUAAUGUAAAUCAAUGAGAUCUUUAUAACAGUAUAGCAGACUACGUAUCGCUCAAUAAUAUGUCUUAUAAAGAUAAUAUUUAAAUGCAUAGUUUGAUGAUCAAAACAUACUGCAGUGCAAUACAAUGAUGACUGAAAGUUGAACAAAUAAACUUUCCUCAAAUUAUCAUAUUUUAUACUCAUAAUUUAACAUGAUUUUUCUAAACAGAAUUUUAAAAAAUUAUAAAAAAAGAAGCUAAAAAGUCUAAACUAUCGAUGAGACAAUAGAAGGCAUGUAGUAGACUGUGUGCAACAGGUUUAAC
ensembl:lncRNA